CAUGCAAGUCGAACGGAAGUUUAAGCAAUUAAACUUUAGUGGCGAACGGGUGAGUAACGCGUAAGCAAUCUGCCCCUAAGACGAGGAUAACAGUUGGAAACGACUGCUAAGACUGGAUAGGAGACAAGAAGGCAUCUUCUUGUUUUUAAAAGACCUAGCAAUAGGUAUGCUUAGGGAGGAGCUCGCGUCACAUUAGUUAGUUGGUGGGGUAAAGGCCUACCAAGACUAUGAUGUGUAGCCGGGCUGAGAGGUUGAACGGCCACAUUGGGACUGAGACACGGCCCAAACUCCUACGGGAGGCAGCAGUAGGGAAUUUUCGGCAAUGGAGGAAACUCUGACCGAGCAACGCCGCGUGAACGAUGAAGUAUUUCGGUACGUAAAGUUCUUUUAUUAGGGAAGAAUAAAUGAUGGAAAAAUCAUUCUGACGGUACCUAAUGAAUAAGCCCCGGCUAACUAUGUGCCAGCAGCCGCGGUAAUACAUAGGGGGCAAGCGUUAUCCGGAAUUAUUGGGCGUAAAGGGUGCGUAGGCGGUUAAAUAAGUUUAUGGUCUAAGUGCAAUGCUCAACAUUGUGAUGCUAUAAAAACUGUUUAGCUAGAGUAAGAUAGAGGCAAGUGGAAUUCCAUGUGUAGUGGUAAAAUGCGUAAAUAUAUGGAGGAACACCAGUAGCGAAGGCGGCUUGCUGGGUCUUUACUGACGCUGAGGCACGAAAGCGUGGGGAGCAAACAGGAUUAGAUACCCUGGUAGUCCACGCCGUAAACGAUGAGUACUAAACGUUGGGUAAAACCAGUGUUGAAGUUAACACAUUAAGUACUCCGCCUGAGUAGUACGUACGCAAGUAUGAAACUUAAAGGAAUUGACGGGACUCCGCACAAGCGGUGGAUCAUGUUGUUUAAUUCGAAGGUACCCGAAAAACCUCACCAGGUCUUGACAUGCUUCUGCAAAGCUGUAGAAACACAGUGGAGGUUAUCAGUUGCACAGGUGGUGCAUGGUUGUCGUCAGCUCGUGUCGUGAGAUGUUGGGUUAAGUCCCGCAACGAGCGCAACCCUUAUUGUUAGUUACCAGCACGUAAUGGUGGGGACUUUAGCAAGACUGCCAGUGAUAAAUUGGAGGAAGGUGGGGACGACGUCAAAUCAUCAUGCCCCUUAUGACCUGGGCUACAAACGUGAUACAAUGGCUGUUACAAAGGGUAGCUGAAGCGCAAGUUUUUGGCGAAUCUCAAAAAAACAGUCUCAGUUCGGAUUGAAGUCUGCAACUCGACUUCAUGAAGUUGGAAUCGCUAGUAAUCGCGAAUCAGCAUGUCGCGGUGAAUACGUUCUCGGGGUUUGUACACACCGCCCGUCAAACCACGAAAGUUGGCAAUACCCAAAGCCGGUGGCCUAACUUCGCAAGAAGAGGGAACCGUCUAAGGUAGGGUCGAUGAUUGGGGUUAAG
rnacentral:rRNA from 1 species